rnacentral:rRNA from 1 species
GUGGGGAAUAUUGGACAAUGGGGGGAACCCUGAUCCAGCCAUGCCGCGUGUGUGAAGAAGGCCUUUUGGUUGUAAAGCACUUUAAGCGAGGAGGAGGCUACCGAGAUUAAUACUCUUGGAUAGUGGACGUUACUCGCAGAAUAAGCACCGGCUAACUCUGUGCCAGCAGCCGCGGUAAUACAGAGGGUGCAAGCGUUAAUCGGAUUUACUGGGCGUAAAGCGCGCGUAGGUGGCCAAUUAAGUCAAAUGUGAAAUCCCCGAGCUUAACUUGGGAAUUGCAUUCGAUACUGGUUGGCUAGAGUAUGGGAGAGGAUGGUAGAAUUCCAGGUGUAGCGGUGAAAUGCGUAGAGAUCUGGAGGAAUACCGAUGGCGAAGGCAGCCAUCUGGCCUAAUACUGACACUGAGGUGCGAAAGCAUGGGGAGCAAACAGGAUUAGAAACCCCGGUAUCC